GUACUGAAUGAUAGGCAAAGUUAGCACUUCCCUUAAUAAGGAUGGAAUUGGUUCUAGUGACUUACAAAAGUCAUGAACAUCGGCUAAGGAAAUGUCACUAACUUUGUGAUUUUUAUCCAUAAAAUGUA